UCGACAAGAACUGGUCGCUCCAGGUUUUUCUCAGCGAUAACGAAUUAACUGCAGUAGGUCGUUCUCCUCACUCUUUUAACUAGUCCAGCAGGUGAGAGUCAAGAGUUAAGAGUUAACUCAUGCUAGUAAAAUCUGUAGAAAAAGAAAUUUGUUAACAGUGAAAUAAGUUAAAUACGUACGUAAGUGACUAAGUGAGUGAGUAAGUAUCAUUAUUGUAAAGAUGAUGGUACAAGGCGAGGUGACAUAUAAAGGUAUUCGUUUGGAAAUAUUGAAUACUUCUUGGAUUACAAAGCUGCUAUAUACAUGUAGCGUUGCUACAAUGAUAAGCGAUCGAUCAAUUUCGGUAAUCUACACCGAACAUCGAUUUUUCUGUUUUCCGUCUUUACCUCAUUCGUAAAGACAGAAUAAGUUAUACCGCUGAACUGCAUACACGCAUCUAAGCAUUUCUAUUGUAUUCUCAAUUUUACUGUGUUAAACUCGUUCGUUAAAUAAAAACAUUUAUUUAACAUAA